CCUACGGGUGGCAGCAGUGGGGAAUAUUGCGCAAUGGGCGAAAGCCUGACGCAGCGACGCCGCGUGAGGGAUGAAGGUCUUCGGAUCGUAAACCUCUGUCAGCAGGGAAGAACGGUCACUGUGCUAAUCUGCACUGAAUUGACGGUACCAGCAAAGGAAGCACCGGCUAACUCCGUGCCAGCCGCCGCGGUAAUACGGAGGAUGCGAGCGUUAAUCGGUAUUACUGGGCGUAAAGCGCUCGUAGGCGGUAUGUCAAGUCAAGGGUGAAAUCCCCGCGCUCAACGUGGGAACUGCCUUUGAAACUGGCAAACUUGAGUGUGUGAGAGGAUAGUGGAAUGUCAGGUGUAGGAGUGAAAUCCGUAGAUAUCUGGAGGAACAUCAGUGGCGAAGGCGACUAUCUGGCACAUAACUGACGCUGAGGAGCGAAAGCGUGGGUAGCAAACAGGAUUAGAUACCCCAGUAGUC
rnacentral:rRNA from 1 species